rnacentral:rRNA from 1 species
GGGUAAUGACCCAAACCUAUAUGGCCCCUGGAUUGGACUGCGGCCGAUCAGGCUGUUGGUGAGGUAAUGGCCCACCAAACCUGUAACCGGUACGGGCUCUGAGAGGAGGAGCCCGGAGAUGGGCACUGAGACAAGGGCCCAGGCCCUAUGGGGCGCAGCAGGCGCGAAACCUCUGCAAUAGGCGAAAGCUUGACAGGGUUACUCUGAGUGAUCUCCGUUAAGGAGAUCUUUGGCACCUCUAAAAAUGGUGCAGAAUAAGGGGUGGGCAAGUCUGGUGUCAGCCGCCGCGGUAAUACCAGCACCCCGAGUGGUCGGGACGUUUAUUGGGCCUAAAGCAUCCGUAGCCGGUUCCACAAGUCUUCCGUUAAAUCCACCUGCUCAACAGAUGGGCUGCGGAAGAUACUAUGGAGCUAGGAGGCGGGAGAGGCAAGCGGUACUCGAUGGGUAGGGGUAAAAUCCGUUGAUCCAUUGAAGACCACCAGUGGCGAAGGCGGCUUGCCAGAACGCGCUCGACGGUGAGGGAUGAAAGCUGGGGGAGCAAACCGGAUUAGAUACCCGGGUAGUCCCAGCUGUAAACGAUGCAGACUCGGUGAUGAGUUGGCUUUAUGCCAACUCAGUGCCGCAGGGAAGCCGUUAAGUUUGCCGCCUGGGGAGUACGGUCGCAAGACUGAAACCUAAAGGAAUUGGCGGGGGAGCACCACAAGGGGUGUAGCCUGCGGUUCAAUCGGAGUCAACGCCGGAAAUCUUACCGGGGGCGACAGCAGAAUGAAGGUCAAGCUGAAGACUUUACCAGACAAGCUGAGAGGAGGUGCAUGGCCGUCGCCAGCUCGUGCCGUGAGGUGUCCUGUUAAGUCAGGUAACGAGCGAGACCCCUGCUUCUAGUUGCUACCAUUAUUCUCAGGAGUAGUGGAGCUAAUUAGAGGGACUGCCGUCGCUGAGAUAGAGGAAGGAGGGGGGAUACAUCAGGUCAGUAUGCCCCGAAAUCC